rnacentral:rRNA from 1 species
GACGAACGCUGGCGGCGUGCCUAAUACAUGCAAGUAGAACGCACAGUUUAUACCGUAGCUUGCUACACCAUAGACUGUGAGUUGCGAACGGGUGAGUAACGCGUAGGUAACCUGCCUGGUAGCGGGGGAUAACUAUUGGAAACGAUAGCUAAUACCGCAUAAUAUUAAUUAUUGCAUGAUAAUUAAUUGAAAGGUGCAAUUGCACCACUACCAGAUGGACCUGCGUUGUAUUAGCUAGUAGGUGAGGUAACGGCUCACCUAGGCGACGAUACAUAGCCGACCUGAGGGGGUGAUCGGCCACACUGGGACUGAGACACGGCCCAGACCCCUACGGGAGGCAGCAGUAGGGAAUCUUCGGCAAUGGACGAAAGUCUGACCGAGCAACGCCGCGUGAGUGAAGAAGGUUUUCGGAUCGUAAAGCUCUGUUGUAAGAGAAGAACGGGUGUGAGAGUGGAAAGUUCACACUGUGACGGUAUCUUACCAGAAAGGGGCGGCUAACUACG